CCUACGGGAGGCAGCAGUGGGGAAUAUUGGGCAAUGGGCGCAAGCCUGACCCAGCCAUGCCGCGUGAGGGAAGAAGGCUUUCGGGUUGUAAACUUCUUUGACAGGGGAAGAGCAGAAGACGGUACCCUGAAAACAAGCCACGGCUAACUACGUGCCAGCAGCCGCGGUAAUACGGAGGUGGCAAGCGUUGUCCGGAUUUACUGGGUGUAAAGGGCGUGUAGCCGGGAAGGCAAGUCAGAGGUGAAAUCUGGAGGCUCAACCUCCAAAUUGCAUUUGAAACUGUUUGUCUUGAGUAAGGGAGAGGAAGACGGAAUGCCUGGUGUAGCGGUGAAAUGCGUAGAUAUAAGGAGGAACACCAGUGGCGAAGGCGGUCUGCUGGACAGCAACUGACGGUGAGGCGCGAAAGCGUGGGGAGCAAACAGGAUUAGAUACCCCAGUAGUC
rnacentral:rRNA from 1 species